UCUGCUCUCAGACGUUAAGAGGACAGUGUGGAUCAGGUUUCCAGGCCUUUCAGAGACACCGACACAGCCGCAGCAACAAUGAUGAUGAUGUCACUGAUCCUGCUUCUGCUCACCCCGGGGCUCCUUGUUCAGGGUUCAUCAGGAGACAUCCUCCUGACUCAGACCCCUGGAUCUCAGUCUGUGGUUCCAGGACAGACCGUCUCCCUCAGAUGUCAAACCAGUUCACGUGUUGGUAGUAGCUAUCUCCACUGGUACCUUCAGAAACCUGGAGAAGCUCCUGAACUCCUGAUUUAUGAAGCUACAAGCCGUCAGUCUGGAGUUUCAGAUCGUUUCAGUGGAAGUGGAUCUGGAUCUGACUACACCCUGACUAUCAGAGGAGUCCAGGCUGAAGAUUCAGGAGUUUAUUUCUGUCAGCAGGGUUACAGCUUCCCGUUCACACAGUGA